GCCUUUGAAUUGAAAUACCAAUAUAGUGGUUAGUAACACUGACUGCAGUGCAGUAGGGCCUGGGUUUGAAUCCCAGAGAAGGCA